GGGGAAACCCUGACGCAGCAACGCCGCGUGGAGGAUGACACUUUUCGGAGCGUAAACUCCUUUUCUUAGGGAAGAAUUCUGACGGUACCUAAGGAAUAAGCACCGGCUAACUCCGUGCCAGCAGCCGCGGUAAUACGGAGGGUGCAAGCGUUACUCGGAAUCACUGGGCGUAAAGGGCGCGUAGGCGGAUUAUCAAGUCUCUUGUGAAAUCUAAUGGCUUAACCAUUAAACUGCUUGGGAAACUGAUAGUCUAGAGUGAGGGAGAGGCAGAUGGAAUUGGUGGUGUAGGGGUAAAAUCCGUAGAUAUCACCAAGAAUACCCAUUGCGAAGGCGAUCUGCUGGAACUCAACUGACGCUAAGGCGCGAAAGCGUGGGGAGCAAACAGGAUUAGAUACCCUGGUAGUCCACGCCCUAAACGAUGUACACUAGUUGUUGGGGUGCUAGUCAUCUCAGUAAUGCAGCUAACGCAUUAAGUGUACCGCCUGGGGAGUACGGUCGCAAGAUUAAAACUCAAAGGAAUAGACGGGGACCCGCACAAGCGGUGGAGCAUGUGGUUUAAUUCGAAGAUACGCGAAGAACCUUACCUGGGCUUGAUAUCCUAAGAACCUUUUAGAGAUAAGAGGGUGCUAGCUUGCUAGAACUUAGAGACAGGUGCUGCACGGCUGUCGUCAGCUCGUGUCGUGAGAUGUUGGGUUAAGUCCCGCAACGAGCGCAACCCACGUAUUUAGUUGCUAACGGUUCGGCCGAGCACUCUAAAUAGACUGCCUUCGUAAGGAGGAGGAAGGUGUGGACGACGUCAAGUCAUCAUGGCCCUUAUGCCCAGGGCGACACACGUGCUACAAUGGCAUAUACAAUGAGACGCAAUACCGCGAGGUGGAGCAAAUCUAUAAAAUAUGUCCCAGUUCGGAUUGUUCUCUGCAACUCGAGAGCAUGAAGCCGGAAUCGCUAGUAAUCGUAGAUCAGCCAUGCUACGGUGAAUACGUUCCCGGGUCUUGUACUCACCGCCCGUCACACCAUGGGAGUUGAUUUCACUCGAAGCCGGAAUACUAAACUAGUUACCGUCCACAGUGGAAUCAGCGACUGGGGUGAAGUCGUAACAAGGUAACCGUAGGAGAACCUGCGGUUGGAUCACCUCCUUUCUA
rnacentral:rRNA from 1 species